rnacentral:rRNA from 1 species
UAACGCGUGAGCAACCUGCCUUUAUCAGGGGGAUAACGCAUCGAAAGAUGUGCUAAUACCGCGUAAGACCACAGCUUCACAUGGAGCGGGGGUCAAAGGAGCAAUCCGGAUAAAGAUGGGCUCGUGUCCGAUUAGCUAGUUGGUGAGAUAACAGCCCACCAAGGCGACGAUCGGUAGCCGACCUGAGAGGGUGAUCGGCCACAUUGGAACUGAGAGACGGUCCAGACUCCUACGGGAGGCAGCAGUGGGGAAUAUUGGGCAAUGGGCGAAAGCCUGACCCAGCAACGCCGCGUGAGGGAAGAAGGGUUUCGGCUCGUAAACCUCUGUCCUAUGGGACGAAGGAAGUGACGGUACCAUAGGAGGAAGCCCCGGCUAACUACGUGCCAGCAGCCGCGGUAAUACGUAGGGGGCGAGCGUUGUCCGGAAUGAUUGGGCGUAAAGGGCGCGUAGGCGGCCUGCUAAGUCUGGAGUGAAAGUCCUGCUUUCAAGGUGGGAAUUGCUUUGGAUACUGGUGGGCUGGAGUGCAGGAGAGGAAAGCGGAAUUACCGGUGUAGCGGUGAAAUGCGUAGAGAUCGGUAGGAACACCAGUGGCGAAGGCGGCUUUCUGGACUGAAACUGACGCUGAGGCGCGAAAGCGUGGGGAGCAAACAGGAUUAGAUACCCUGGUAGUCCACGCGGUAAACGAUGAAUGCUAGGUGU